rfam:Tupaia chinensis contig191659, whole genome shotgun sequence.
AACCUCCUGGGUUUGCAUCUGGAGAGUGGCUAAAAAUUUGACAGCUUCAGAAACGGGAGGGAGAGCAAAGCCAGCAGAGGUACCCAUUCCAUCCCCAGCUGGGCCCGUAGCUGGUGAUUAGAAGAUCUCUGCAACAGUG